GACGAACGCUGGCGGCGUGCCUAAUACAUGCAAGUCGAGCGAACUUGCGGGAGCUUGCUCCCAAAAGUUAGCGGCGGACGGGUGAGUAACACGUGGGCAACCUGCCUAUAAGACUGGGAUAACUUCGGGAAACCGGAGCUAAUACCGGAUAAUUCUUUUCUACUCAUGUAGGAAAGCUGAAAGAUGGUUUCGGCUAUCACUUAUAGAUGGGCCCGCGGCGCAUUAGCUAGUUGGUGAGGUAACGGCUCACCAAGGCGACGAUGCGUAGCCGACCUGAGAGGGUGAUCGGCCACACUGGGACUGAGCCACGGCCCAGACUCCUACGGGAGGCAGCAGUAGGGAAUCUUCCGCAAUGGACGAAAGUCUGACGGAGCAACGCCGCGUGAGUGAUGAAGGUUUUCGGAUCGUAAAACUCUGUUGUUAGGGAAGAACAAGUACUAGAGUAACUGCUAGUACCUUGACGGUACCUAACCAGAAAGCCACGGCUAACUACGUGCCAGCCGCCGCCGUAACAC
rnacentral:rRNA from 1 species